rnacentral:lncRNA from 1 species
CCCUGGAGCUGCAGAACCUGAUGCUGUGUGCGCUGCAGACCGUCAGUGGAGCAGAGGCGUGGAAGGAGUCACGGGGCGCGCACGCCAGGGAAGACUACAAGGUGCGGAUCGAUGAGUACGAUCACUCCAAGCUCAUCCAGGGGCAACAGAAGAAGCCCUUUGAGGAGCACUGGAGGAAGCACACCCUGUCCUAUGUGGACGUCAGCACUGGGAAGGUCACUCUGGAAUAUAGACCCAUAAUCGACAAAACUUUGAACGAGGCUGACUGUGCCACCGUCCCCCCAGCCAUUCGCUCCUACUGAUGAGACAAGAUGCGGUGAUGACAGAAUCAGCUUUUGUAAUUACGUAUAAUAGCUCAUACAUGUGUCCAUGUCAUAACUGUCUUUAUACGCUUCUGCACUCUGGGGAAGAAGGAGUACAUUGAAGGGGGAUUGGCACCCAGUGGCCGGGGAGCGUGACACUUACCUUUGUCCCUUGCUUCAUUCUUGUGACAAUAUAAAACUGGGCACAGCUCUUAAAUAAAAUAUAAAUGAACAAACUUUCUUUUAUUUCCAAAUCCAUGUCAAAUAUUUUACUGUUAUGACGUGUCAUAUUUGUUGACCUAAAAAUCAAAUGUAAUUAUCUUUGUAUUCUGUUACAUCAAAAUCCAGAUAUUUUGUUGCAGUUUCUUUUUUUUUUUUUUGAGACCAGGUUGGUGCAGUGGUGCAGUCUCAGCUCACUGCAGCCUCAAACUCCUGGGCAGCUCAG